GAUGAACGCUGGCGGCGUGCCUAAUACAUGCAAGUAGAACGCUGAAGCUUGGUGCUUGCACCGAGCGGAUGAGUUGCGAACGGGUGAGUAACGCGUAGGUAACCUGCCUGGUAGCGGGGGAUAACUAUUGGAAACGAUAGCUAAUACCGCAUAACAGUAGAUAUUGCAUGAUAUCUGCUUGAAAGGUGCAAUUGCAUCACUACCAGAUGGACCUGCGUUGUAUUAGCUAGUUGGUGAGGUAACGGCUCACCAAGGCGACGAUACAUAGCCGACCUGAGAGGGUGAUCGGCCACACUGGGACUGAGACACGGCCCAGACUCCUACGGGAGGCAGCAGUAGGGAAUCUUCGGCAAUGGGGGGAACCCUGACCGAGCAACGCCGCGUGAGUGAAGAAGGUUUUCGGAUCGUAAAGCUCUGUUGUAAGAGAAGAACGAGUGUGAGAGUGGAAAGUUCACACUGUGACGGUAUCUUACCAGAAAGGGACGGCUAACUACGUGCCAGCAGCCGCGGUAAUACGUAGGUCCCGAGCGUUAUCCGGAUUUAUUGGGCGUAAAGCGAGCGCAGGCGGUUAGAUAAGUCUGAAGUUAAAGGCUGUGGCUUAACCAUAGUACGCUUUGGAAACUGUUUAACUUGAGUGCAAGAGGGGAGAGUGGAAUUCCAUGUGUAGCGGUGAAAUGCGUAGAUAUUGGGAGGAACACCAGUAGCGAAGGCGGCUUUCUGGACUGCAACUGACACUGAGGCACGAAAGCGUGGGUAGCAAACAGG
rnacentral:rRNA from 1 species